rnacentral:lncRNA from 1 species
AACUACAUAAUAUAUUUGGAGAUUUAAUUAGUUGAAUUAGCAAUUAUAUUUUAAUUAUUAUUUAUUUAAUGACUGAUUAUGAUUAAAUAUUUUAAUUAACUUCAUGAAUUAUAUUACUUAAUGAAUAGUAAUUCAAUUUCUCUUUUUCUUUUUCUCCUUUAAUAUUCACUAAGUUAAUUACUAAUCAAAGUAAUUAAAAAAGUGAAGUACAUACUAUGCUACUUAAAGCGUGUAGCCAAACUUUUCAUAAAAACUUUAAAUUUUAAAAAAAAUAAUAAUAAUUUAAAAACCAGAGUAUAGCCGUGCGGCUAUACUAUUUUUAAUAUAAAAAAGGAGGACCCCAACGUUUAGGCGCCACGUGUCAACUUUUUUAUUAAAAAAAUAAAACACUGAGUAUAGCCGUUCGGCUAUACUAUUUAUAAUAUAAACAGGAGGACCACAACGUUUAGGCGCCACGUGUCAGUUUUUUAAAUUAAAAAAAUAAAAAACGGAGUAUAGCCGUGCGGCGAUACUAUUUUUAAUAUAAAAAGGUGGACCCCAACGUUCAGGCGCCACGUGUCCACUAAACACAGAGUAUAGCCGUGCGGCUGUACUUUUUUUGGUUUUAAAAAAAGGAGCCUCCAGCGGUUUUUUCAAAGAGGAAAAUAUAGUACAGCCGCACGGCUAUACUACGUAAAUAGAAUUUAAUUAUUUUGUGGACUUUUUCUAUAAUUUUUUUAAUACUAAUUAAUAAUUACUAAUUAAAGUAAUUCAAAAAGGCUAAGAUGUUACUCAAUUACAUGUAUUGGAUUAAAGAAGUGGACCAAAAAACUAAAGCAAAGAAAGUAAUUAUAUGUUUAUUAAAAAGGAUUAAAUUUAUUUAUUUAUUUUUAAAGAAAAAGCAUUACAAAUACGUACAAACAUGUACAAUACGACUAUUGUACGUUUGCUUUUUAAAAAAAGGAGAUGCGUAUAGAACACGAAUGUAUUAUUAGAAACUACGUACGUACACACACACAUAUGUAUAUAUAUAUAUAUUACGACUAAUUAAAGUAAUAAAAAAAGAAUAAGAUAUUACUUAAUUACACAUAUUAAAUGAAGGAAGUUGGCCAAAAGAAAAAGUAAAGAAACUAAUUUUAUAUUUUAAAAUUUUAUACUUUAAAAAAAAAAAAAACACAUGUACAAUUCUCCCGACGAAAUUUCGUCGGCAAAGAUCUAUGCCGACAAAAUUUGCCGGAUUAGGUUUCCCCCGACGAAAAUAUCUUUGCCGACGAAAUUUCGUCGGGAGAGGUCUUACUUUUAAAAAAUAAAUAUAAACUUAGGAUGUUUAGGUUAAUUAAUUUUUAAAAAUUUUGUUUUUAUUAACUACAUAAUAUAUUUGGAGAUUUAAUUAGAUGAAUUAGCAAUUAUAUUUUAAUUAUUAUUUAUUUAAUGACUGAUUAUGAUUAAAUAUUUUCAUUAACUUCAUGAAUUAUAUUACUUAAUGAAUAGUAAUUCAAUUUCUCUUUUUCUUUUUCUCCUUUAAUAUUCACUAAGUUAAUUACUAAUCAAAGUAAUUAAAAAAGUGAAAUACAUACUAUGCUACUUAAAGGGUGUAGCCAAACUUUUCAUAAAAAUUUUAAAUUUUAAAAAUAAUAAUAAUAAUUUAAAAACCAGAGUAUAGCCGUGCGGCUAUACUAUUUUUAAUAUAAAAACGGAGGACCCCAAUGUUUAGGCGCCACGUGUCAACUUUUUAUUUAAAAAAAUAAAAAACUGAGUAUAGCCGUUCGGCUAUACAAUUUUUAAUAUAAAAAGGAGGACCACAACGUUUAGGCGCCACGUGUCAGUUUUUUAAAUUAAAAAAAUAAAAAACGGAGUAUAGCCGUGCGGCGAUACUAUUUUUAAUAUAAAAAGGUGGACCCCAACGUUCAGGCGCCACGUGUCCACUAACACAGAGUAUAGCCGUGCGGCUGUACUGUUUUUGGUUUUAAAAAAAGGAGCCUCCAGCGGUUUUUUCAAAGAGAAAAAUAUAGUACAGCCGCACGGCUAGACUACGUAAAUAGAAUUUAAUUAUUUUGUGGACUUUUUCUAUAAUUUUUUUAAUACUAAUUAAUAAUUACUAAUUAAAGUAAUUCAAAAAGGCUAAGAUGUUACUCAAUUACAUGUAUUGGAUUAAAGAAGUGGACCAAAAAACUAAAGCAAAGAAAGUAAUUAUAUGUUUAUUAAAAAGGAUAAAAUUUAUUUUUUUUUUAAAGAAAAAGCAUUACAAAUACGUACAAACAUGUACAAUACGACUAUUGUACGUUUGCUUUUUAAAAAAAGGAGAUGCGUGUAGAACACGAAUGUAUUAUUAGAAACUACGUACGUACACACACACACACAUAUGUAUAUAUAUAUAUAUAUAUAUUACGACUAAUUAAAGUAAUUCAAAAAGAAUAAGAUAUUACUUAAUUACAUAUAUUAAAUGAAGGAAGUUGGCCAAAAGAAAAAGUAAAGAAACUAAUUUUAUAUUUUAGAAUUUUAUACUUUAAAAAAAAAAACACAUGAACACUUCUCCCGACGAAAUUUCGUCGGCAAAGAUCUAUGCCGAUAAAAUUUGCCGGAUAAGGUUUCCCCCGACGAAAAUAUCUUUGCCGACGAAAUUUCGUCGGGAGAGGUCUUACUUUUAAAAAAUAAAUAUAAACUUAGGAUGUUUAGGUUAAUUAAUUUUUAAAAAUUUUGUUUUUAUUAACUACAUAGUAUAUUUGGAGAUUUAAUUAGUUGAAUUAGCAAUUAUAUUUUAAUUAUUAUUUAUUUAAUGACUGAUUAUGAUUAAAUAUUUUCAUUAACUUCAUGAAUUAUAUUACUUAAUGAAUAGUAAUUCAAUUUCUCUUUUUCUUUUUCUCCUUUAAUAUUCACUAAGUUAAUUACUAAUCAAAGUAAUUAAAAAAGUGAAAUACAUACUAUGCUACUUAAAGGGUGUAGCCAAACUUUUCAUAAAAAUUUUAAAUUUUAAAAAAAAUAAUAAUAAUUUAAAAACCAGAGUAUAGCCGUGCGGCUAUACUAUUUUUAAUAUAAAAAAGGAGGACCCCAACGUUUAGGCGCCACGUGUCAACUUUUUUAUUAAAAAAAUAAAAAACUGAGUAUAGCCGUUCGGCUAUACUAUUUAUAAUAUAAAAAAGAGACACACGUUUAGCCCCACGUGUCAGUUUUUUAAAUUAAAAAAAUAAAAAACGGAGUAUAGCCGUGCGGCGAUACUAUUUUUAAUAUAAAAAGGUGGACCCCAACGUUCAGGCGCCACGUGUCCACUAACACAGAGUAUAGCCGUGCGGCUGGACUGUUUUUGGUUUUAAAAAAAGGAGCCUCCAGCGGUUUUUUCAAAGAGAAAAAUAUAGUACAGCCGCACGGCUAGACUACGUAAAUAGAAUUUAAUUAUUUUGUGGACUUUUUCUAUAAUUUUUUUAAUACUAAUUAAUAAUUACUAUUUAAAGUAAUUCAAAAAGGCUAAGAUGUUACUCAAUUACAUGUAUUGGAUUAAAGAAGUGGACCAAAAAACUAAAGCAAAGAAAGUAAUUAUAUGUUUAUUAAAAAGGAUAAAAUUUAUUUUUUUUUUAAAGAAAAAGCAUUACAAAUACGUACAAACAUGUACAAUACGACUAUUGUACGUUUGCUUUUUAAAAAAAGGAGAUGCGUGUAGAACACGAAUGUAUUAUUAGAAACUACGUACGUACACACACACACACAUAUGUAUAUAUAUAUAUAUUACGACUAAUUAAAGUAAUUCAAAAAGAAUAAGAUAUUACUUAAUUACAUAUAUUAAAUGAAGGAAGUUGGCCAAAAGAAAAAGUAAAGAAACUAAUUUUAUAUUUUAGAAUUUUAUACUUUAAAAAAAAAAAAACACAUGAACACUUCUCCCGACGAAAUUUCGUCGGCAAAGAUCUAUGCCGAUAAAAUUUGCCGGAUAAGGUUUCCCCCGACGAAAAUAUCUUUGCCGACGAAAUUUCGUCGGGAGAGGUCUUACUUUUAAAAAAUAAAUAUAAACUUAGGAUGUUUAGGUUAAUUAAUUUUUAAAAAUUUUGUUUUUAUUAACUACAUAGUAUAUUUGGAGAUUUAAUUAGUUGAAUUAGCAAUUAUAUUUCAAUUAUUAUUUAUUUAAUGACUGAUUAUGAUUAAAUAUUUUCAUUAACUUCAUGAAUUAUAUUACUUAAUGAAUAGUAAUUCAAUUUCUCUUUUCUUUUUCUCCUUUAAUAUUCACUAAGUUAAUUACUAAUCAAAGUAAUUAAAAAAGUGAAAUACAUACUAUGCUACUUAAAGGGUGUAGCCAAACUUUUCAUAAAAAUUUGUAAUUUAAAAAAUAAUAAUAAUAAUUUAAAAACCAGAGUAUAGCCGUGCGGCUAUACUAUUUUUAAUAUAAAAAAGGAGGACCCCAACGUUUAGGCGCCACGUGUCAACUUUUUUAUUAAAAAAAUAAAAAACUGAGUAUCGCCGUUCGGCUAUACAAUUUUUAAUAUAAAAAGGAGGACCACAACGUUUAGGCGCCACGUGUCAGUUUUUCAAAUUAAAAAAAAUAAAAAACGGAGGAUAGCCGUGCGGCUAUACUAUUUUUAAUAUAAAAAGGUGGACCCCAAACGUUCAGGCGCCACGUGUCCACUAAACACAAAGUAUAGCCGUGCGGCAGUACUGUUUUUGGUUUUAAAAAAAGGAGCCUCCAGCGGUUUUUUCAAAGAGAAAAAUAUAGUACAGCCGCACGGCUAUACUACGUAAAUAGAAUUUAAUUAUUUUGUGGACUUUUUCUAUAAUUUUUUUAAUACUAAUUAAUAAUUACAAAUUAAAGUAAUACAAAAAGGCUAACAUGUUACUCAAUUACAUGUAUUGGAUUAAAGAAGUGGACCAAAACACUAAAGCAAAGAAAGUAAUUAUAUGUUUAUUAAAAAGGAUUAAAUUUAUUUAUGUUUUUAAAGAAAAAGCAUUACAAAUACGUACAAACAUGUACAAUACGACUAUUGUACGUUUGCUUUUUAAAAAAAGGAGAUGCGUAUAGAACACGAAUGUAUUAUUAGAAACUACGUACGUACACACACACACACAUAUGUAUAUAUAUAUAUAUAUAUAUAUUACGACUAAUUGAAGUAAUUCAAAAAGAAUAAGAUAUUACUUAAUUACAUAUAUUAAAUGAAGGAAGUUGGCCAAAAGAAAAAGUAAAGAAACUAAUUUUAUAUUUUAGAAUUUUACUUAAUAUAGUACAGCCGCACGGCUAUACUAUGUAAAUAUAGUAUUUAAUAAAUAAAUAAAAGAAAGAAGGACCCUCCAAGUUGCAUUAGCUUGUACUUUAUAGAUAUUAAUUUGCUAGUUUAAACAUAUCCAUAUUUUUAAACUUUAUACUUUUCAAAAAAAAAAAAACACAUGAACACUUCUCCCGACGAAAUUUCGUCGGCAAAGAUCUAUGCCGACAAAAUUUGCCGGAUUAGGUUUCCCCCGACGAAAAUAUCUUUGCCGACGAAAUUUCGUCGGGAAAGGUCUUAAUUUUAAAAAAUAAGUAUAAACUUAGGAUGUUUAGGUUAAUUAAUUUAGAAAAAUUUUAUUUUUAGUAACUACAUAAUAUAUUUGGAGAUUUAAUUAGUUGAAUUAGCAAUUAUAUUUUAAUUAGUUUAUUUAUUUAAUGACUGAUUAUGAUUAAAUAUUUUAAUUAACUUCAUGAAUUAUAUUACUUAAUGAAUAGUAAUUCAAUUUUCUCUUCUUCUUUUUCUCCUUUACUAAUCAAAGUAAUUAAAAAAGUGAAAUACAUACCAUGCUACUUAAAGGGUGUAGCCUACCUUUUCAUUAAAAUAAAAAAAAAAUUAAUAAAAUUUAAAAAAAAAAAAAAAACUGAGUAUAGCCGUGCGGCUAUACUAUUUUUAAUAAAAAAGGCGCCACGUGUCGACUUUUUAAAAAACACCGAGUAUAGCCGUGCGGCUGUACUAUUUUUUGGUCUUAAAAAAGGAGCCUCCAGCGAUUAGGCGCCACGUGUCCCCAAAAAGUAUAGCCGCCCGGCUAGACUAUUUUUAAAAAAGAAAAAUACAGUACAGCCGCACGGCUAUACUGUGUAAAUAUAGUAUUUAAUAAAUAAAUAAAAGAAAGAAGGACCCUCCAAGUUGCAUUAGCUUGUACUUUAUAGAUAUUAAUUUGCUAGUUUAAACAUAUCCAUAUUUUUAAACUUGAUACUUUUCAAAAAAAAAAAAAAACACAUGAACACUUCUCCCGACGAAAUUUCGUCGGCAAAGAUCUAUGCCGACAAAAUUUGCCGGAUUAGGUUUGCCCCGACGAAAAUAUCUUUGCCGACGAAAUUUCGUCGGGAGAGGUCUUAAUUUUAAAAAAUAAGUAUAAACUUAGGAUGUUUAGGUUAAUUAAUUUUUAAACAUUUUAUUUUUAGUAACUACAUAAUAUAUUUGGAGGUUUAAUUAGUUGAAUUAGCAGUUAUAUUUUAAUUAUUAUUUAUUUAAUGACUGAUUAUGAUUAAAUAUUUUAAUUAACUUCAUGAAUUAUAUUACUUAAUGAAUAGUAAUUCAAUUUCUCUUCUUCUUUUUCUCCUUUACUAAUCAAAGUAAUUAAAAAAGUGAAAUACAUACCAUGCUACUUAAAGGGUGUAGCCUACCUUUUCAUAAAAAAUAAAAAAUAAAAAAAAAAAAUUUAAAAAAAAAAUAAAAAAACAAAAACUGAGUAUAGCCGUGCGGCUAUACUAUUUUUAAUAUUAAAAAGGCGCCACGUGUCGACUUUUUAAAAACACCGAGUCUAGCCGUGCGGCUGUACUAUUUUUUGGUCUUAAAAAAAAAAGGAGCCUCCAGCGAUUAGGCGC